AGCAUAGCGAUUUGGGAUAAGUCCCUUGGAAAAGGGCAGCACAGGGGGUGAUACUCCCGUCUUUGCUCAGAUUGUCUAUGUGUACGAUACGCUUUCUUUGAGUCGAGUUGUUUGGGAAUACAGCUCAAAGUAGGUGGUAAAUUCCAUCUAAAGCUAAAUAUUGGUGCGAGACCGAUAGCGAACAAGUACCGUGAGGGAAAGAUGAAAAGAACUUUGAAAAGAGAGUUAAAGAGUACCUGAAACUGUUGAAAGGGAACCGUAACAUGUCCAGUGUCGUAUCUUGUGCAUAUUUCAUUAGUGGAGUAAUUUACUGGUGCCCUGUGCAUAAGUGUGACGUCAAAGUCAGUUUGUAUGCUGCGGGAGAUGGUUAACAAGGAGGUGCGUCGCUUUUGUGUCAGUUAUACCUUGUUAUCUAGUAGCCGUGGUUGAGACUGAGGUGCC
rnacentral:rRNA from 2 species